rnacentral:rRNA from 1 species
UACGGGGGGGGUAAGCGUUGUUCGGAAUUACUGGGCGUAAAGGGCUCGUAGGCGGCCAACUAAGUCAUACGUGAAAUCCCUCAGCUUAACUGGGGAACUGCGUCUGAUACUGGAUGGCUUGAGUUUGGGAGAGGGAUGCGGAAUUCCAGGUGUAGCGGUGAAAUGCGUAGAUAUCAGGAGGAACACCGGUGGCGAAGGCGGGUCUCUGGGCAACAACUGACGCUGAGGAGCGAAAGCGUGGGGAGCGAACAGG